rnacentral:rRNA from 1 species
CCUACGGGGGGCAGCAGUGAGGAAUAUUGGUCAAUGGGCGCGAGCCUGAACCAGCCAAGUAGCGUGAAGGAUGACUGCCCUACGGGUUGUAAACUUCUUUUAUACAGGAGUAAAGUGAGGCACGUGUGCCUUUUUGUAUGUACUUUAUGAAUAAGGAUCGGCUAACUCCGUGCCAGCAGCCGCGGUAAUACGGAGGGUCCGGGCGUUAUCCGGAUUUAUUGGGUUUAAAGGGAGCGUAGAGGGGUUGUUAAGUCAGUUGUGAAAGGUUGCGGCUCAACCGUAAAAUUGCAAUGGAUACUGGCAGCCGUGAGUACAGGUGAGGUAGGCGGAAUUCGUGGUGUAGCGGUGAAAUGCUUAGAUAUCACGAAGAACUCCGAUUGCGAAGGCAGCUUACGAAACUGCCACUGACAUUGAGGCUCGAAAGUGUGGGUAUCAAACAGGAUUAGAUACCCUGGUAGUC